rnacentral:rRNA from 1 species
AAAUUGAAGAGUUUGAUCAUGGCUCAGAUUGAACGCUGGCGGCAGGCCUAACACAUGCAAGUCGAACGGUAACAGGAAGCAGCUUGCUGCUUCGCUGACGAGUGGCGGACGGGUGAGUAAUGUCUGGGAAACUGCCUGAUGGAGGGGGAUAACUACUGGAAACGGUAGCUAAUACCGCAUAACGUCGCAAGACCAAAGAGGGGGACCUUCGGGCCUCUUGCCAUCGGAUGUGCCCAGAUGGGAUUAGCUUGUUGGUGGGGUAACGGCUCACCAAGGCGACGAUCCCUAGCUGGUCUGAGAGGAUGACCAGCCACACUGGAACUGAGACACGGUCCAGACUCCUACGGGAGGCAGCAGUGGGGAAUAUUGCACAAUGGGCGCAAGCCUGAUGCAGCCAUGCCGCGUGUAUGAAGAAGGCCUUCGGGUUGUAAAGUACUUUCAGCGGGGAGGAAGGGAGUAAAGUUAAUACCUUUGCUCAUUGACGUUACCCGCAGAAGAAGCACCGGCUAACUCCGUGCCAGCAGCCGCGGUAAUACGGAGGGUGCAAGCGUUAAUCGGAAUUACUGGGCGUAAAGCGCACGCAGGCGGUUUGUUAAGUCAGAUGUGAAAUCCCCGGGCUCAACCUGGGAACUGCAUCUGAUACUGGCAAGCUUGAGUCUCGUAGAGGGGGGUAGAAUUCCAGGUGUAGCGGUGAAAU